rnacentral:rRNA from 1 species
AUUGAACGCUGGCGGCAGGCCUAACACAUGCAAGUCGAGCGGGGUUUUCGGACCUAGCGGCGGACGGGUGAGUAAUGCGUAGGAAGCUGCCCGAUAGAGGGGGAUACCAGUUGGAAACGACUGUUAAUACCGCAUAAUGUCUACGGACCAAAGUGUGGGACCUUCGGGACACAUGCUAUCGGAUGCGCCUGCGUGGGAUUAGCUAGUUGGUGAGGUAAUGGCACACCAAGGCGACGAUCUCUAGCUGGUUUGAGAGGAUGAUCAGCCACACUGGAACUGAGAGACGGUCCAGACUCCUACGGGAGGCAGCAGUGGGGAAUAUUGGACAAUGGGCGCAAGCCUGAUCCAGCCAUGCCGCGUGUGUGAAGAAGGCCUUCGGGUUGUAAAGCACUUUCAGCGAGGAGGAAGGGUGGUGUGUUAAUAGCACAUCAUUUUGACGUUACUCGCAGAAGAAGCACCGGCUAACUCUGUGCCAGCCGCCGCCGUAAAAC